rnacentral:rRNA from 1 species
AGAGUUUGAUCCUGGCUCAGGACGAACGCUGGCGGCGUGCUUAACACAUGCAAGUCGAACGGAAAGGCCUCUUUCGAGGGGUGCUCGAGUGGCGAACGGGUGAGUAACACGUGGGUGAUCUGCCCUGCACUUUGGGAUAAGCCUGGGAAACUGGGUCUAAUACCGGAUAGGACCACGGCAUGCAUGUGCUGUGGUGGAAAGCUUUUUUGCGGUGUGGGAUGGGCCCGCGGCCUAUCAGCUUGUUGGUGGGGUGAUGGCCUACCAAGGCGACGACGGGUAGCCGGCCUGAGAGGGUGUCCGGCCACACUGGGACUGAGAUACGGCCCAGACUCCUACGGGAGGCAGCAGUGGGGAAUAUUGCACAAUGGGCGCAAGCCUGAUGCAGCGACGCCGCGUGGGGGAUGACGGCCUUCGGGUUGUAAACCUCUUUCACCAUCGGCGAAGCUCCCGGAUAUUUCCGGGAGUGACGGUAGGUGGAGAAGAAGCACCGGCCAACUACGUGCCAGCAGCCGCGGUAAUACGUAGGGUGCGAGCGUUGUCCGGAAUUACUGGGCGUAAAGAGCUCGUAGGUGGUUUGUCGCGUUGUUCGUGAAAUCCCACGGCUUAACUGUGGGCGUGCGGGCGAUACGGGCAGACUAGAGUACUGUAGGGGAGACUGGAAUUCCUGGUGUAGCGGUGGAAUGCGCAGAUAUCAGAGGAACACCGGUGGCGAAGGCGGGUCUCUGGGCAGUACUGACGCUGAGGAGCGAAAGCGUGGGAGCGAAAGGAUUAGAUACCCUGGUAGUCCACGCCGUAAACGGGGGGACUAGGUGUGGGUUUCUUUCUUUAGGGAUCCGUGCCGUAGCUAACGCAUUAGUACCCCGCCUGGGGAGUACGGCGCAAGGCUAUACUCAAAGGAUUUGACGGGGCCCGCUCAAGCGGCGA